rnacentral:rRNA from 1 species
AUUGAACGCUGGCGGCAUGCCUUACACAUGCAAGUCGAACGGCAGCACGGACUUCGGUCUGGUGGCGAGUGGCGAACGGGUGAGUAAUGCAUCGGAACGUGCCAUUGAGUGGGGGAUAACGUAGCGAAAGUUGCGCUAAUACCGCAUAUUCUGUGAGCAGGAAAGCAGGGGACCGCAAGGCCUUGCGCUCUUUGAGCGGCCGAUGUCAGAUUAGCUAGUUGGUGAGGUAAAGGCUUACCAAGGCGACGAUCUGUAGCGGGUCUGAGAGGAUGAUCCGCCACACUGGAACUGAGACACGGUCCAGACUCCUACGGGAGGCAGCAGUGGGGAAUUUUGGACAAUGGGCGGAAGCCUGAUCCAGCCAUGCCGCGUGAGUGAAGAAGGCC